CUAAAGUUUUAUCCUGGCUUAUUCUUUCAUUUUUAGGUCAACGGUACAUGUAAAAUUUAUUGUGACAAUAAGAUUCAUUGUUAAAGAUACUAAAGGUCAAUGAAUUAAUUAAAGGAAGAGGUUUCGUUAAGAAAUAAAUUCUCAGUACCUAGUACUAAUUAGAUAAAUGUAAGUUGGAAUUGAUGAUCCUAAUUAAAUAUCUGGCUAAAAUUUGUGCCAGCAGCCGCGGUUAUACUGAAAGGUAGAUUGAAAGAAAUUUGGUUAAAAACAGUUAGGUUAGUUAAUUAUUUUUUUUUUUAUAAAUCUGUACUAAUAAAGGGUGAAAUCAAUUUUUUAGUAUACAGUAGAAUAAAAACUUUGAUUAUAGCUGAGGCUGUUAAGAUAAAGAGAUGAACCAGGAUUAGAUACCCUGUUACACUUUAUUUAAAUUGUUAUUACCUGGGUACUAAACAGUUAUUAUCUUGAAACUCAAAGGAUUUGGCGGUAACUUAGUCUAUUUAGAGGAACCUGUCCUGUAAUCGAUAGUCCACGAAGAAUCUUACUCUAUUUUGUAGAAAUACAGUUUGUAUACCGUCAUUAUUAGGUAACUUUUAUAAAAGAUAAAGUUACUAUAAUAGUUUUGCUAAUAUAUUAGAUCAAGGUGCAGCUUAUAGUAGAGGAAGAGAUGGGUUACAAUAUACUAAAAUAAACGGAACAACAAAUGAAUAUUUGUUAUAAAGGUGGAUUUAAAAGUAAGAAGAUUUUAAUAAGAUCUUUUGAUUUUAGCUCUAGGUUAUGUACACAUCGCCCGUCGCUCUCGUUAAUUAAAGCGAGAUAAGUCGUAACAUAGUAGGUGUACUGGAAAGUGUACCUAGAAUUUU
rnacentral:ncRNA from 1 species